ensembl:lncRNA
GCUGCUCUAGGCAGGUUCACAGUGUUAGCACACUAACUAGCCUAGCUGCCCCUCCCUGCUGCUCUAGGCAGGUUCACAGUGUUAGCACACUAACUAGCCUAGCUGCCCCUCCCUGCUGCUCUAGGCAGGUUCACAGUGUUAGCACACUAACUAGCCUAGCUUCCCUCCCUGCUGCUCUAGGUAGGUUCACAGUGUUAGCACACUAACUAGCCUAGCUGCUCCCCCCUGCAGCUCUAGGCAGGUUCACAGUGUUAGCACACUAACUAGCCUAGCUUCCCUCCCUGCUGCUCUAGGCAGGUUCACAGUGUUAGCACACUAACUAGCCUAGCUGCUCCUCCCUGCUGCUCUAGGCAGGUUCACAGUGUUAGCACACUAACUAGCCUAGCUUCCCUCCCUGCUGCUCUAGGCAGGUUCACAGUGUUAGCACACUAACUAGCCUAGCUGCUCCUCCCUGCUGCUCUAGGCAGGUUCACAGUGUUAGCACACUAACUAGCCUAGCUGCUCUAGGCAGGUUCACAGUGUUAGCACACUAACUAGCCUAGCUGCCCCUCCCUGCUUCUCUAGGCAGGUUCACAGUGUCCUUUCCUUAAAACAAAGACACACUUUGGCCCAGAAACCGGAUACACUCCCACUUCUCCUCCUUCUCUCUCUGCCUUUCUCCUUCUCUCAAUCUCCACCUCACACUUUCUUUCUCCCCUUCUCCCUCCUCACCCCGUCACUCUUUCCCUAUUUCUUUUUCUGCUUCUCUUUCUCCCUUCUCCUUCGCUCAACCCUCUCUUUCCUUCCUACCUCUCCUUUUCCUUCUCUUUCUUAUUCUCUCCAUUUCUCUCUCCCCACUGGUUUCACUUAAUAAGCUUCAAAGGUUUUCUGGGC